GCCAGGAUGGUGGAAUGGCAGACACCAGGGACUUAAAAUCCCUUGCCGGGUUUCUGGCGUGAGGGUUCGAGUCCCUCCUCUGGCACCA
rnacentral:tRNA from 1 species